UCUACAACCUCAUAUAAGAGGAGAAAACAUUGAAUCAGCCAGCUAAGACUUCUCACCUACAAAGAAAAUGUAAGACUACUACCCCUGGUAUUCACAAGGCAAACACAGCUGAUUAAUUCUCCAUUUGCCAGGGACAGGGUCAACCGUAUUGUGAAGUAGUUGGUUGUCCCAAAUCCAAGGUAAGAUAAGAAUAUCUCACUCAAGAACAGCUGUACCUCAAAAAAAAAAAAAAUUCAAAAAAAGAGAGAAAUCUUCAAGGGCAGAGCUGGCAGAUCUGACUGGCAAAGCCCAGGUCAAGGGCGUCUAUCACAGCUGUGGAAGUAAAUGGAAGAGUGAAUGGCUUGCCAGCCUAGUGGCACAUGCCUGUAAUCCCAGUACUCGGGAAGA